rnacentral:rRNA from 1 species
AUUGAACGCUGGCGGCAGGCUUAACACAUGCAAGUCGAGCGGGGUGAUGGUGCUUGCACUAUCACUUAGCGGCGGACGGGUGAGUAAUGCUUAGGAAUCUGCCUAUUAGUGGGGGACAACAUCUCGAAAGGGAUGCUAAUACCGCAUACGUCCUACGGGAGAAAGCAGGGGAUCACUGGUGACUCUCCGCUAAUAGAUGAUCCUAAGUCGGAUUAGCUAGUUGGUGGGGUAAAGGCCUACCAAGGCGACGAUCUGUAGCGGGUCUGAGAGGAUGAUCCGCCACACUGGGACUGAGACACGGCCCAGACUCCUACGGGAGGCAGCAGUGGGGAAUAUUGGACAAUGGGGGGAACCCUGAUCCAGCCAUGCCGCGUGUGUGAAGAAGGCCUUAUGGUUGUAAAGCACUUUAAGCGAGGAGGAGGCUCUUUUGGUUAAUACCCAAGAUGAGUGGACGUUACUCGCAGAAUAAGCACCGGCUAACUCUGUGCCAGCAGCCGCAGUAA